UACGUAGGGUGCAAGCGUUAAUCGGAAUUACUGGGCGUAAAGCGUGCGCAGGCGGUUGUGCAAGACCGAUGUGAAAUCCCCGAGCUUAACUUGGGAAUUGCGCUCGAAACUACGUGGCUCGAGUGUGGCAGAGGAAGGUGGAAUUCCACGUGUAGCGGUGAAAUGCGUAGAGAUGACAUAGAACACCAAUUGCGAAGGCAGCUCGUUACACGAACAUUGACUCUGAGGCUCGAAAGCGUGGGGAUCAAACAGG
rnacentral:rRNA from 1 species